rnacentral:tRNA from 1 species
GCCGGGGUGGCUCAGUGGUAGAGCAACUGUUUUGUAAACAGUAGGUCGUGGGUUCGAUCCCCACCCCCGGCUCCA